GUGUCAGCCGCCGCGGUAAUACGUAGGGGGCAAGCGUUGUCCGGAAUUAUUGGGCGUAAAGCGCGUGUAGGCGGCUUGGUAAGUCCGAUGUGAAACCUCGGGGCUCAACCCCGAGCCUGCAUUGGAUACUGCCUCGCUUGAGUCCGGGAGGGGAGAGCGGAAUUCCUAGUGUAGCGGUGAAAUGCGCAGAUAUUAGGAAGAACACCGGUGGCGAAGGCGGCUCUCUGGAACGGUACUGACGCUGAGACGCGAAAGCGUGGGGAGCAAACAGGAUUAGAUACCCCAGUAGUCC
rnacentral:rRNA from 1 species